CCAUGUUGCUCACACAAAGCCUGUUUGGUGGUCUUUUCACACGGACGCACAUGAAAUUUGGUGCCGUGACUCGGAUCGGGGGACCUCCCUUGGGAGAUCAAUCCCCCAUCCUCCUGCUCUUUGCUCCAUGAGAAAGAUCCACCUAUGACCUCAGGUCCUCAGACCGACCAGCCCAAGAAACAUCUCACCAAUUUCAAAUCCAGACCCCACUGGAAAUCAGACUGUUCGACUCACCUGACAGCCACUCCCAGAGCCCCUGGAACUCUGGCCCAAGGCUCUCUGACUGACUCCUUCUCGGCUUAGCAGCUGAAGACUGAUGCUGCCUGAUCACCUCGAAAGCCCCGUAGACCAUCACAGAUGCUGAGCUUCGAGUAACUCUCACAGUGGAAGUGCUGUGCUGCCUUCUGAAUUCUCCUACAAAAAGCAGUGGCCAGGUCGUAUGGUCCUUACAUUCCAGGAAAUUGUAAAGCUCUUCAAACUCUUCAAAUUAUAAAACUCUUCUCUUGAAGACAACCCCUUUUCUUGGCAAAGAGUCUUCAGUCCAUGUGACCCAGCUGAUAUUGACUGGUUCUGAAUAAAGGCCCUGAAGGGCAAGGUCGUGCAGGCUCCUUGGGAGAGAACAGAACUGCAGAUAGAGAGCAGAGGGGACAGAGGCCAGCGUCGGACAGAAGAGGGCACCAGCAAACUGACCUACUCACCCCAGCUGCUGACCCCCACUUCGACCUGGGAUCAAACCAGCAGCUGAGCACAAUAGAUAGGCUGGGUUCUUUUUGGAAAACAAAAUUUUCCUGGAACAUGAGUAUGUCUAAACUAACUAAUCAAAAUGAAAGAAAUAUAUGUCUUAGUAUACCUUUUCAUGAUUUGAUAAUUGGCCGUUUUCAAGAACAUAAUGAAAACUCAGCUGUCCCACUAAAAUAAUUCUCACCAAGGAGGGGCAGUUACUGAAAGACAAACAAUUCCUUUGAAAACUAAAUAAAUUAUCUAUCAAACGGUUACUCUAUCUAUAACUUUAAAAGAAAAAAGUCAUCUGGGCAGAAUUAUUGGCUUCACAUCUUCAAAUGUGUUCUACUUUGUUUAACAAAUUGAGGUUUCAAUGAGUUCUUUUGGUUUGCCAGGAUUGAAGCAGAUUUAAAGUAGGUUUGUUGUCAAAUCAGUGUAUGGGUCUCUAUCUCACACCUAGGCUUCCAUUAUCACACAAUGAUGAGCACUCUCUUCCCACCACCUCCAUAUAAAUGCUUAAACACAUCCCUUCCCUGCAUACUUCCCACUGCCCACACCCGUGUAGUAAUUUAUAUGCCACUUUCCCCAGAACUCCCUCCAUUCUAGUAGGAAGCAUUUAGACUUACAAAGUGAUUGAGGUGGAGGAAGUUCUUCCAAAGUGCAAUUCAUGUGUCUUUAAAAAAAAAAAAAUUAAACACUAUAAAGUAGGAGAAGCAAAACAGAAUUUGCGGUUAGUUCCUGUAAUGUGUUAAACAUCUGCAGUUUUGUCUCUUCAUCGGGAUGCGGGGUUGUGCUGUAGUCACAUCCUGAUAACAUCUGCACAUUACUGAUAGCUUUUGCUUUAUUCUUUAUGGUCUGCUGAUGAGAGAUUCUUUAACAUUCCUUCAGUCAUCAAGACCCCAGUUGGAUUUCUUUGCUUGUGACAGCCUUAAAGGUGGUUUCAUUUACAUUUGCUAAAAUGUCACAAUAUAGGAAGAUAUUUUCAGUUUGAUGUUUCAUCCCUUCCUUUUUUUAUCCGGAUGCUAGUUUUAGCUUUUCAAAUGAAUGUCGAACUCAAAAUAGAUUUUCCAUGAAAUAUAUUUUGUCUGAUUUUUGGAACACCAUGUCUGCAGCAGAAGACUUUUUUUUUUUUU